ACCAGGGAUUGCCCUAGUAACGGCGAGUGAAGCGGCAACAGCUCAAAUUUGAWAUCUGGCCCUCGGGUCCGAGUUGUAAUUUGUAGAGGAUGCUUUUGGCGCGGUGCCUUCCGAGUUCCCUGGAACGGGACGCCUUAGAGGGUGAGAGCCCCGUACGGUUGGACACCAAGCCUCUGUAAAGCUCCUUCGACGAGUCGAGUAGUUUGGGAAUGCUGCUCUAAAUGGGAGGUAAAUUUCUUCUAAAGCUAAAUAUUGGCCAGAGACCGAUAGCGCACAAGUAGAGUGAUCGAAAGAUGAAAAGCACUUUGAAAAGAGGGUUAAAUAGCACGUGAAAUUGUUGAAAGGGAAGCGUUUGCGACCAGACCUUUUCCCGGCGGAUCAUCCGGUGUUCUCACCGGUGCACUCUGCCGGGUCGAGGCCAGCAUCGGUUUCCGCAGGGGGAUAAAAGCGGGGGGAACGUAGCUCCCUCGGGAGUGUUAUAGCCCCUCGCAUAAUACCCUUGCGGGGACCGAGGACCGCGCCUCCGGGCAAGGAUGCUGGCGUAAUGGUCGUCAACGACCCGUCUUGAAACACGGACCAAGGAGUCGAACAUUUGUGCGAGUGUUUGGGUGUCAAACCCUCACGCGUAAUGAAAGUGAACGGAGGUGAGAGCCCUCGCGGGUGCAUCAUCGACCGAUCCUGAUGUCUUCGGAUGGAUUUGAGUAAGAGCAUAACUGUUCGGACCCGAAAGAUGGUGAACUAUGCGUGGAUAGGGUGAAGCCAGAGGAAACUCUGGUGGAGGCUCGCAGCGGUUCUGACGUGCAAAUCGAUCGUCAAAUCUGCGCAUGGGGGCGAAAGAC
rnacentral:rRNA from 1 species